GAUUUCUGACUCGACUCGGCUGACCCGCCGCGGUUACGCGUGUGAGUGUCGGCUCGAAUCAGUCAUCACUUCUAGGAGCGCAACACACUCUUCACUGAGCUGGCGUUGCUGUUCUUAGAUCUUUUACUUUGAAAAAAUUAGAGUGUUUCAAGCAGGCGUUUGCUAUGAAUACAUUAGCAUGGAAUAAUAAUUUAGGACUUUUGUUCUAUUUUGUUGGUUUCGCGAAUGAAAGUAAUGAUUGAUAGGGAUAGUUGGGGGUGCUAGUAUUCAGUGGCCAGAGGUGAAAUUCUCGGAUUCACUGAAGACUAACUUCUGCGAAAGCAUU
rnacentral:rRNA from 1 species